ACCACCUUCAGCAGCUUCUCCCGAGUGACCAACUUCUUCCGGGGUGCCCUGCAGCCACAGCCUGAGGGAGCCGCCUCCGACCUUCCCCCGCCACCCGACGAUGAGCCCGAGCCUGGAUUCGAGGUGGAGCUGGGGCCUCGGCCAACCGUGGAGCGGGGCCCUCCAGUUACAGAGGAGGAGUGGGCACGCCACGUGGGCCCUGAAGGUCGCCUGCAGCAGGUCCCUGAGCUGAAGAACCGGAUCUUCUCGGGGGGUCUGAGCCCCAGCCUGCGGCGCGAGGCCUGGAAGUUCCUCCUAGGGUACCUCAGCUGGGAAGGCACAGCUGAGGAGCACAAGGCCCACAUACGCAAGAAAACGUGAGUUCUCAGGAGGCCCUGCCCUGCCAGGCAUGACACCUGGUACCUCCUAGGGCACCAAUGGGCAAGUUCUGUGGACGCUGGUUGUGAACCUGCUGUAUCUGGGCACCAUCCUGCGCCUGUGGAAUACGGCAAUGAUCAAGCCAGACCCAUCCUCACCCCUGUAUGGUCUGUCUCCAUUGCAGUUUUCAUUCCUGUGCCAUACUGUUUUAAUGAUCACAGUUUUGCAGCAUGUUUUAUAACCUAGGAGGGCCCGUCUCUCCUCAUUCCUGGUGUAGGUUAUAUACCUGCCAGGCACUGAGGAUGC
rnacentral:lncRNA from 10 species